rnacentral:rRNA from 1 species
AUACGGAGGAUCCGAGCGUUAUCGGGAUUUAUUGGGUUUAAAGGGAGCGUAGGCGGCUUGUUAAGUCAGUUGUGAAAGAUUGCGGCUCAACCGUAAAAUUGCAGUUGAAACUGGCAGGCUUGAGUCAAGUAGAGGUGGGCGGAAUUCGAGGGGUAGCGGUGAAAUGCUUAGAUAUACAGAAGAACUGCGAUUGCGAAGGCAGCUCACUAGACUGUUACUGACACUGAUGCUCGAAAGUGUGGGUAUCAAACAGGAUUAGAUACCCUGGUAGUCCACACAGUAAACGAUGAGUACUCGCUGUUUGCGAUAUACAGUAAGCGGCCAAGCGAAAGCAUUAAGUAUUCCACCUGGGGAGUACGCCGGCAACGGUGAAACUCAAAUGAAUUGACGGGG